rnacentral:rRNA from 1 species
CCUACGGGUGGCACCAGUGGGGAAUAUUGCACAAUGGGCGCAAGCCUGAUGCAGCCAUGCCGCGUGUAUGAAGAAGGCCUUCGGGUUGUAAAGUACUUUCAGCGGGGAGGAAGGUGUUGUGGUUAAUAACCGCAGCAAUUGACGUUACCCGCAGAAGAAGCACCGGCUAACUCCGUGCCAGCAGCCGCGGUAAUACGGAGGGUGCAAGCGUUAAUCGGAAUUACUGGGCGUAAAGCGCACGCAGGCGGUCUGUCAAGUCGGAUGUGAAAUCCCCGGGCUCAACCUGGGAACUGCAUUCGAAACUGGCAGGCUAGAGUCUUGUAGAGGGGGGUAGAAUUCCAGGUGUAGCGGUGAAAUGCGUAGAGAUCUGGAGGAAUACCGGUGGCGAAGGCGGCUAUCUGGUCUGUAACUGACGCUGAGGCGCGAAAGCGUGGGGAGCAAACAGGAUUAGAUACCCGAGUAGUC